rnacentral:ribozyme from 13 species
GUAUUGACCAACAGUAAAAGAGGUGUAAGUGCCUCGUCUCCUUUUUCUUUUUCUUUUUCUACUUCUUCGCUGUUUCGAUAUGCUGAUUGAGUAGUAGAAGGAGGAAAAGUAUUCAAAAGUGUUGAUAAGAGAGAAAAGAAAAAAGUAGACUCAUUCUUAUCUUUAUUAUUAUUUUCAU